UACGAAGGGGGCUAGCGUUGCUCGGAAUUACUUGGCGUAAAGGGCGCGUAGGCGGAUAUCUAAGUUGGGGGUGAAAUCCCGGGGCUCAACCUCGGAAUUGCCUUCAAAACUGGAUAUCUUGAGUUCGGGAGAGGUGAGUGGAACUCCGAGUGUAGAGGUGAAAUUCGUAGAUAUUCGGAAGAACACCAGUGGCGAAGGCGACUCACUGGCCCGAUACUGACGCUGAGGCGCGAAAGCGUGGGGAGCAAACAGG
rnacentral:rRNA from 1 species